AAAGUCGUAACAAGGUCUCCGUUGGUGAACCAGCGGAGGGAUCAUUACAAGAAGCCGAAAGGCUGCUUAAAACCAUCGCGAACCUAUCCAUCAGCGUUGCUUCGGCGGGAGGAGGCCGCGGGGCCGGCGUCUGCUGGGCCCGGGGCUGGGGACCCGCACUCUCUCUCUGGGGUGCGGGGCCCGCCCGCCGGAGGUAUGAAACUCUUCUGUAUCUGUAGUGGAAUCUCUGAGUAAGCAAGCAAAUAAGUCAAAACUUUCAACAACGGAUCUCUUGGUUCUG
rnacentral:misc_RNA from 1 species